ACCCAAAGCAUAUGGAGGUUCCCAGGCUAGGGGUCAAAUCAGAGCUACAGCUGCUAGGCAAUGCCACAGCCACAGCUGCAGCCAUGUGGGGUCCAAGCCAGGUCUGCAGCCUAUACAACAGCUUGUGGCAAUGCCAGAUCCUAAACCCACCGAGUGAGCCCAGGGAUCGAACCUGCAACCUCAUGGUUCCUAGUUGGAUUUGCUUCCGCUGUGCCACACAUGGGAACUCCAUGCCCCAAUAAAUUCUUGCGAGAGGAUUCAAAUGCUGUCCUGAUGGCCUUGCUCGUGGGAUGGCUGCCCUGGCCCCAGGCAGGCGGCCCAGGAAGAAUGGGUCCCGGGCAGCUGUGAAUCUGCCCUGCUGGGUGAAAUCCCCAGAUCUGCAGAUCUGAGCAACUGACUGCGGGUAUUUGACCCACCAGAUCCAGGUCACAGCCAUCAGCCUGCAACCUCUGGCCAAAUGCGCUACACUGGGUCCAAAGCGCCUUGACGGCGGCCCACAGGCCUUGGGCUUUGCUGGAAAUGAGGGCAGAUGGAAAAGAGCCCCUGGCAGAGAGAGAGUCCCAGACAAACCCAGAGACACUGGUGGUUUUCAAAGACGGGAGCUGCAGCCUCUGAAAAUUCCACAGGCCUCCCUGCUGCGGGUAAAAUGCUUUGGGGAAGAUUGCAAAUGUUUGCACUGGUGGGAGUUUGUUAUAAAUGGACUUGGUUUUGUUUAGUUGGUUACAUUUUUAUUUGGUUAAAGAAAACAAAACAAAACCUCCAAGACCAGCUUAACUGAAGACUCCGUGUUAGGCCAAAAAAAAAAGCCAAGAAAGGGCAAACGAGAGGGACCGGGAAUCAACUGCCCGCUGCACGUCGGGUCUGGCUUGAGGUCUUGCCUCAGCUGCAAAGCCCUCCCAGGACCAGCCCGUCACGGUCGCUAACGUUUCUGGAGUGCCCGCCACGUGCCAGCCACCCCUCCUAGCCCUUCCUGGCUCCUCCUCUCUAACCCUUACAAUGGCUGCAUGUGUCAUUUUUAAUUUUUUUUGUCUUUUUGUCUUUUUAGGGCCACACCCGUGGCAUAUGGAGGUUCCCAGGCUAGGGGUCGAAUCGGAGCUACAGUGGCCAGCCUACGCCACAGCCACAGCAACACGAGAAUCGAGCCACGUCUGUGACCUACACCACAGCUCACGGCAACACCGGAUCCUUAACCCAUGAAGCGAGGCCAGGGGUCGAACCCACAACCUCAUGGUUCCUAGCCAGAUUUGUUUCCGCUGCGCCACGACGGGAACUCCCUGUUGUGUCAUUCUAAAGAUGAGGCACCUGAGGCCCAGAGAGGUGAAGGCGUUUGUCCCAGGCCACACAGCUGGGAGGUGGCAGGGAUGGGAACUGCAGCCUGUCCGGCUCUUUGAAUCAUAUUUCACAGUUGCUCAGGCUGAAAGCCACACCUGCCCAUAGAGUGACCCUCACGGAGGCUUCCUGGGCACUGAGUUUCUGGGGCACUGGGCAGAAGCCCCUGCCUACCAGCUAGCCUGCAAGGCCACCCAGUGAGUGUCCCCUGCUGCCCAGAUGGCAAGGCGUCACCCAGGCUAAGGCCAGAGACAGGCCAUGCGCGGGCCUCUCCCGCCACUUGAGGCCUCACCUCUGCACCCCCUGGGGUGGCAGCAGGUGCCACCCCUGCUCCCACAAAGGGCCCAGCAGCCCGUCCUGAGGGAAAGGUCUAUGACGCUCCUGAUCUUCGGGUGUCUGUGAUUUGCCCUGGGCUUGGGGGGGACGGUCAGCCUGUCUUUAGGGAACCUUCAGGGGCACCUCUGCCCACUGGGCCCGUGACCUUUGUGUGUGCGUGCACGCUAACCUUUGAGCAGCUUUGAGCCUGGGAGGCUGAGCCCCAGGAACUUCACCGGCAUUCUAACCCAGCAUUCUCUGGUGUUAACCAGCUCUGAUCCCGAGUCAGCGGUGAAGAGACUAGAACUCUCCCCAGAGACUCCUCCCAGAUUCCCCCUCUUCAUAUAUUCACCCCGAUGUUCCCUCUCCCCACUGCUCUGUUCUGCUACAGCACGAAGCACAGUGUAUAAGUAUGCAUUUAACUUCUUGUAUGUGUGUUUCUUGAGGGCAGAGGCCUCGCCGGCACAUAGUAGGUGUUCAGGGAAUGUGCAGCUUGGCCGCAGGAGGCCAGCGGUGCAGGAGUUUUUCUGUGGCCGGAGCGGUGUGUGUGCAUCUGCUGGCCCAUGGCGCCCUCUGGUGGACAUCAUGCAGACGCCAGGCUGAGGACCAGCCCUUUGGGGCUCUCUUUCCAGGUUCCUCCCCCGCCCCUCGCCUCCUGGGGCCUGGCCACCGAGGUGUGGCUUCCCUCAGUGACAUGUGUGCGUCUAUGAAGCAGCAGAAGCCACACCUUCUGGAGUUCCACGAGCUGCUUCUGGGUGACCAGGUGCGCUGGAAGUUGGCCAGGUUCUCACGUUAUUAAAGACGUCAAUGUCAUCCUGGCACUUGCACACAGGCUGAGCA
rnacentral:lncRNA from 1 species